rnacentral:rRNA from 1 species
UGGCGAACGGGUGAGUAACACGUGGGUGAUCUGCCCUGCACUCUGGGAUAAGCCUGGGAAACUGGGUCUAAUACCGGAUAGGACCAUGCUUUAGUGUGUGUGGUGGAAAGUUUUUUCGGUGUAGGAUGAGCCCGCGGCCUAUCAGCUUGUUGGUUGGGUAAUGGCCUACCAAGGCGGCGACGGGUAGCCGGACUGAGAGGUUGGUCGGCCACAUUGGGACUGAGAUACGGCCCAG